rnacentral:lncRNA from 1 species
UUCAAUGAGCAUAGGAGCCUCCUAGGAGCAGGGGAUCUCAUGAUUGCUUGAGCUUCAAAACAAAACAGGUUAGUGACAUAUUUUUGUGCUUUUGGUUAGUAAAAAAGAUAAGAAAAGAAAUAAUAUACAAUUCAAGCAUGCUUGGUGGUCUCAGGCCAACUCGCACAAGUCCCAACCCUAAGGUAAAGGAGCCACACAUGCUAUGAUCCUUGAGGCAAUGCAAUGAGCAAUGAUAUGAUGUCAUGAGGGAUCUUAGGGUCAAAAUUAG